rnacentral:rRNA from 1 species
UCGUGUCAGGACGAACGCUGGCGGCGUGCCUAAUACAUGCAAGUCGAACGGUCUUUCUAUGGAAGCUUGCUUCCACUGAGAAGAUAGUGGCGAACGGGUGAGUAACACGUGGGUAACCUGCCCAUAAGAGGGGGAUAACAUCCGGAAACGGGUGCUAAUACCGCAUAGUUUUCUUGAUCGCAUGAUCGGGAAAGGAAAGACGGCCUUUGUGCUGUCGCUUAUGGAUGGACCCGCGGCGUAUUAGUUAGUUGGUGAGGUAACGGCUCACCAAGACGAUGAUACGUAGCCGACCUGAGAGGGUGAUCGGCCACAUUGGGACUGAGACACGGCCCAAACUCCUACGGGAGGCAGCAGUAGGGAAUCUUCCGCAAUGGACGAAAGUCUGACGGAGCAACGCCGCGUGAGUGAAGAAGGUUUUUCCGGAUCGUAAAACUCUGUUGUCAGAGAAGAACAAGUUGGAGAGUAACUGCUCCAGCCUUGACGGUAUCUGACCAGAAAGCCACGGCUAACUACGUGCCAGCAGCGGC